rnacentral:rRNA from 1 species
CCAAAAACAUAGCCCUCAAAACAAUUGAAGGUGAAACCUGCCCAAUGAUUUAAUACACUAAAUUUAAAAAUUUAAUAAAAAAAAUUAAAUGGCUGCAGUAACUAUGACUGUAAAAAUGUAGCAUAAUAAUUCGCCACUUAAUUAGUGGAUAGUAUGAACGGUUUAACGAAAAUUCCACUGUCUUAUAUAAUAAAAAAAAAAUUUAAAUCAUAGUUAAGAUGCUAUGUAAAACUGUAAGACGAAAAGACCCUAUAAAGCUUAACUAUAUUUCUUAAUAAUUUAAUAAAAAAAAAAACUUAAAAUAAUUAUUUAUUAAGAUUUGGUAGUUUCAUUGGGGCGAUGAUCUCUAAAAAUAAACAGAGAUAAACCUAUAUAAUAAUAAAAUUUACUGUAUAAUUAAUAAAUUUAACAGUUACAAAGUAGGGUAUAAUGACCCAUUAAUUUUAUAAAAAGAAUUAAUGAUCAAUAAAUAAAAGCUACUUUAGGGAUAACAGGAUAAUAAUUUCUUAGAGACCCAAUCGAAGAAAAAGUUUAUCACCUCGAUGUUGAAUUAAGAUAACCUAAUGACGCAGCAGUAAUUAAAGGUAGGUC